UACGUAGGGUGCAAGCGUUGUCCGGAAUUACUGGGCGUAAAGAGCUUGUAGGUGGUUUGUCGCGUUGUUCGUGAAAUCUCACGGCUUAACUGUGAGCGUGCGGCGAUACGGGCAGACUAGGGUACUGCAGGGGAGACUGGAAUUCCUGGUGUAGCGGUGGAAUGCGCAGAUAUCAGGAGGAACACCGGUGGCGAAGGCGACUCUUUGGCCUGUAAACUGACGCUGAGGCGCGAAAAGCGUGGGGGAGCAAACAGG
rnacentral:rRNA from 1 species